UGAUGGUGACCUUAGUUCUCUGGUGCUGAGAGCUGCUUACCGCAAGCACCUGUGGAGCAUGAGCAGCCUGAGCACAGGACAAGCAGGAAGGGUGGAGGGUUAAUGUCCCUGAAGCAGCAUCAACCAAUGGCAGAUAAGGGAUCUAUAUAUGAACACCGUAGUGUUCUUGCCUCUAGGAUGGAAUAGUAACUCUUAAGAGUGUUCUGCUCUAUCUCCGAGAGUUCCCCAGCAAGACAGAGCCCCAAUUGCUCAUCAUGGAACCCCAAGGAGCAUGAGGACAUCCUGAACAGAGGCCACCUCAGGAGAGCUGAAGGAGCAGGAGAGCAGCCCUGGUGCACCCUGCCCAGGCUCAACUCCUCCCGCAGAACUAAGCCAGGGCUGAGAAGUUCCUUGAAAGAGGCUGCUCUUUGGAAGCCUUGCACAUUUCUGAAGGCUGCCAAGAGAGUGUGUGGCUGAAACCAGAGUGAGGACCCUAGGAGUUCAUUUUGUGAAGCUGUCACGAGUUUUCCAGUAGACCAUGAGCUUGCUGAUGGCAGGAGCCUGCCUGUCCUUGAUCCUUGUUUCUGUGGGGUCUAUCCCAGUGCCUGGCACAGUGGCUUUGGAGAUGGAAGGAAUAGAGGGAGGCCAACAUCAAGGUGGAGCCUGUUGUUGUUCAUAUCCGGUGGAUGGAGAAACUAAGGAAACAGAUGCUUUGAGAGUCUAACUCUCCCAAAUGCACACAGCCAUUGUGUGAGAAGCCAGCACCUGACUCCAGAACAGUGUCUCUCCCAAGCUCUCACUCUGCAGGUCCGUGAUCCAGACUCAAAGUAAUUGGGAUCAUGUGGGACACCUGGAAGUCACAACUCCCUAUGAUUUGGAUGCAGAUCCCACCUCUCUGGAUCCUGCCCAUCUGUAGAUAGCAAUUGUACUUCUCUAGAAGAAGGUUCCAGUUCUCAUCCCUGCGCAGAUCCUCAAACACAGCCUGCAUCUCUCCCUGCUCCCCUCCCACCCUCCAGUUUUCCAGCCAGAGGCAUUUGCUCUAAGGCCCAGGCUGUGGCCCACCUAUCACCGCUACCCAAGUAGUACAGGAAAAGGAAAUUUGAAGAGGAAAAGAGGCACCAGGGAUGAGGACACACCGAGAAAAGACCAUGUGAAGACAUGGCGAGAAGACAGCCAGCUGCAAGCCAAGGAGUGAGGCCUCAGAAGAAACCAACCCUGCCGACACCUUGACCUUGGACUUCUAGUCUCUAGAAUUAUGCGAAAAUAAAUUCCUGUUGUUUAAG
rnacentral:lncRNA from 10 species